CCUACGGGAGGCAGCAGUGGGGAAUAUUGGUCAAUGGGCGCAAGCCUGACCCAGCAACGCCGCGUGAAGGAAGAAGGCUCUCGGGUUGUAAACUUCUUUUAUCAGGGACGUAACAAGUGACGGUACCUGCUGAAUAAGCCACGGCUAACUACGUGCAAGCAGCCGCGGUAAUACGGAGGUGGCAGGCGUUAUCCGGAUUGACUGGGUGUAAAGGGCGUUUGGGCGGGAAGGCAAGUCAGAUGUGAAAACCAUGGGCUCAACCUGUGGCCUGCAUUUGAAACUGUUUUUCUUGAGUACUGGUGAGGUAGACGGAAUUCCUGGUGUAGCGGUGAAAUGCGUAGAUAUUAGGAGGAACACCAGUGGCGAAGGCAGUUUGCUGGACAGCGACUGACGCUGAGGCGCGAAAGCGUGGGGAGCAAACAGGAUUAGAUACCCGAGUAGUC
rnacentral:rRNA from 1 species